CUGAUGUUUCAGAAAAAAGGAAGAUGUUUGAGAACCAACAAAACACAGAGCACAGAUGAACAAAGGUGAUGUGGCACUAGGAGACUUUAUACCAGAUGCCCUCCCUGUUACUGCGUUUAGAGGAAGAAAAGCAGCACAUGAGACCAGAGCUUCUUCACUGGAAUAAAUCUUCACACUGUCCAGCUCCAAACUGUG